AAUAAUGCAGUCGAGCGGACAGAAGGGAGCUUGCUCCCGGAUGUUAGCGGCGGACGGGUGAGUAACACGUGGGUAACCUGCCUGUAAGACUGGGAUAACUCCGGGAAACCGGAGCUAAUACCGGAUAGUUCCUUGAACCGCAUGGUUCAAGGAUGAAAGACGGUUUCGGCUGUCACUUACAGAUGGACCCGCGGCGCAUUAGCUAGUUGGUGGGGUAAUGGCUCACCAAGGCGACGAUGCGUAGCCGACCUGAGAGGGUGAUCGGCCACACUGGGACUGAGACACGGCCCAGACUCCUACGGGAGGCAGCAGUAGGGAAUCUUCCGCAAUGGACGAAAGUCUGACGGAGCAACGCCGCGUGAGUGAUGAAGGUUUUCGGAUCGUAAAGCUCUGUUGUUAGGGAAGAACAAGUGCGAGAGUAACUGCUCGCACCUUGACGGUACCUAACCAGAAAGCCACGGCUAACUACGUGCCAGCAGCCGCGGUAAUACGUAGGUGGCAAGCGUUGUCCGGAAUUAUUGGGCGUAAAGGGCUCGCAGGCGGUUUCUUAAGUCUGAUGUGAAAGCCCCCGGCUCAACCGGGGAGGGUCAUUGGAAACUGGGAAACUUGAGUGCAGAAGAGGAGAGUGGAAUUCCACGUGUAGCGGUGAAAUGCGUAGAGAUGUGGAGGAACACCAGUGGCGAAGGCGACUCUCUGGUCUGUAACUGACGCUGAGGAGCGAAAGCGUGGGGAGCGAACAGGAUUAGAUACCCUGGUAGUCCACGCCGUAAACGAUGAGUGCUAAGUGUUAGGGGGUUUCCGCCCCUUAGUGCUGCAGCUAACGCAUUAAGCACUCCGCCUGGGGAGUACGGUCGCAAGACUGAAACUCAAAGGAAUUGACGGGGGCCCGCACAAGCGGUGGAGCAUGUGGUUUAAUUCGAAGCAACGCGAAGAACCUUACCAGGUCUUGACAUCCUCUGACAACCCUAGAGAUAGGGCUUUCCCUUCGGGGACAGAGUGACAGGUGGUGCAUGGUUGUCGUCAGCUCGUGUCGUGAGAUGUUGGGUUAAGUCCCGCAACGAGCGCAACCCUUGAUCUUAGUUGCCAGCAUUUAGUUGGGCACUCUAAGGUGACUGCCGGUGACAAACCGGAAGAAAGGGGGG
rnacentral:rRNA from 1 species